UACGUAGGGUGCAAGCGUUGUCCGGAAUUAUUGGGCGUAAAGAGCUCGUAGGCGGUUUGUCGCGUCGGCUGCGAAAUCCCGGGGCUUAACCCCGGGCGUGCAGUGGAUACGGGCAGGCUGGAGGCAGGCAGGGGAGAACGGAAUUCCCGGUGUAGCGGUGAAAUGCGCAGAUAUCGGGAGGAACACCGGUGGCGAAGGCGGUUCUCUGGGCCUGUACUGACGCUGAGGAGCGAAAGCGUGGGGAGCGAACAGG
rnacentral:rRNA from 1 species